CCUACGGGAGGCAGCAGUGGGGAAUCUUGCGCAAUGGGCGAAAGCCUGACGCAGCAACGCCGCGUGCGGGAAGAAGGCUUUCGGGCUGUAAACCGCUUUCAGCAGGAACGAAAAUGACGGUACCUGCAGAAGAAGGAGCGGCCAACUAUGUGCCAGCAGCCGCGGUGAUACAUAGGCUUCAAGCGUUGUCCGGAUUUAUUGGGCGUAAAGAGUUCGUAGGCGGUCGAGUAAGUCGGGUGUGAAAAUUCUGGGCUCAACCCAGAGACGCCACCCGAUACUGCUUGACUUGAGUUCGAUAGGGGAGUGGGGAAUUCCUAGUGUAGCGGUGAAAUGCGCAGAUAUUAGGAGGAACACCGGUGGCGAAGGCGCCACUCUGGAUCGAUACUGACGCUGAGGAACGAAAGCAUGGGUAGCAAACAGGAUUAGAUACCCUGGUAGUCCAUGCCGUAAACGGUGGGCACUAGGUGUGGGGUUUUACCUAUUUAACCGAAAUCCCGCGCCGUCGCUAACGCAUUAAGUGCCCCGCCUGGGGGAGGUACGGUCGCGAGACUAAACUACAAGAGUAGUAGCGNGNGAGAGCGACGACGACGACGACGGAGGAGGAG
rnacentral:rRNA from 1 species